CAAUGUAUUAUGAAAAUAUACAGGGAUUAGAUGUGGAGUUCCUGAACUGGAGGGACUAACCCAACAGUUCCUUAAAAGUUAAAAACCUAGUACCAAGUUGUAACAUGUUAUUCGAAUAUUUGACAGGCAGAAGAUAUAACGGUGCUGUAUGGUGCCCCUCCCUGGCUGCCAGAGACAGACUCUCCAGUUAUUCUAGAGAGAAGGAGCUCGAUCGUGAGUCAUCGUCUGCUUUGUGGAGCUAGAUAUAUUCCGGGUUUUCUCUUAUUCUUACUGUCGGUGGAAAGCGAUAAAUAAAACGGCAGAUAAAAAGGCUUGCAAGCCAUUUUGACAUAUUGCUUCAACAGCUCUGGACUGGUGUGAUAAAAUGUUGGCUGCAACUCUGCGAUCUCGGUCUCUUCAUCUCUCAUCUUCACUCCUGAAUCAUCCAUGGAAACCUGUGUUGUCAGGUUCCGGUCAUACUUUCUCUUCAUCAGCUGCUGAAUCCAACAGUGACAGAAGCAUACUGGACCUAAACGAGAUAGAGAAGGUUCUCACUGAUGUGAGAGCAGAUGACGUGAAAGUUAUACCAGCUAAAAAGCACGCUGAAUGGGCUGAUUAUAUGGUCAUUGCCACUGGCAGGUCGACAUGGCAUGUCAAAAACAUCGCUCAAGCCCUUAUUUACAAGGCUAAGCAAAAGCAAAAGGGGGCUCAACGAAUGACCCUCCCCAGUGUGGAAGGGCAAGAGGGAGGAAAGUGGAUUGUUAUUGACUCUGGUAAGGUGAUAGUUCAUGCUCUUGACGAGAAAGCUCGAGCAUACUACAAUUUGGAAAGUCUUUGGACCUCAGAUGCAUCUAAUGAGGAACCAGAUCAGGACUUGGAUAAAGCUUUUAUCAAGAUUCGUCCCAAGAGAAACAAUUCUAAAAGACCAGCAAAUAGAGGUGCCUGAAGCAUCAAUAGUUGUGACAUGAGCAGCUGCUGCCAUUGUUGCCAAUAUAGUUUUCUCGUGCCAAAGUUUUUUCCUCAAUCAAUAUUUUGCAGUCCAUCUCACCAUAGCGUACCUGUAAAUUUGAUGGGCCUUGCCCUCGAGAAAACACCUUUUGGGAAGGAGUGCUUCAUGGGCCCAAAAUCCCUUCUCGCAUUGGAUGACGUGGGAUUGAGCACUGAAGUAUGUAUUACUAGAAAGCCAUCCAACAUCAGCCCACUCAAACUUAAUAAUUGACAAAACAAUCUUUGAUUUUUUAAUAUAUAAUGCUUAUUAUUGCAAUAUUACAUUGCAAUCCUUGUAGAAAUCAAUCUAGGCUUCUAACUUUACUGUAUUAGUGAAUUUUAAUUUAUAAUUAUUAACAUGUGAUAAUAAUGAUAAUUAAAUAACAAUAUAUAUAAAUUAGUAUGUUAAUGUCC